ACGAACGCUGGCGGCGUGCCUAAUACAUGCAAGUUGAGCGCUGAAGGUUGGUACUUGUACCAACUGGAUGAGCAGCGAACGGGUGAGUAACGCGUGGGGAAUCUGCCUUUGAGCGGGGGACAACAUUUGGAAACGAAUGCUAAUACCGCAUAAAAACUUUAAACACAAGUUUUAAGUUUGAAAGAUGCAAUUGCAUCACUCAAAGAUGAUCCCGCGUUGUAUUAGCUAGUUGGUGAGGUAAAGGCUCACCAAGGCGAUGAUACAUAGCCGACCUGAGAGGGUGAUCGGCCACAUUGGGACUGAGACACGGCCCAAACUCCUACGGGAGGCAGCAGUAGGGAAUCUUCGGCAAUGGACGAAAGUCUGACCGAGCAACGCCGCGUGAGUGAAGAAGGUUUUCGGAUCGUAAAACUCUGUUGGUAGAGAAGAACGUUAGUGAGAGUGGAAAGCUCAUCAAGUGACGGUAACUACCCAGAAAGGGACGGCUAACUACGUG
rnacentral:rRNA from 1 species